rnacentral:rRNA from 1 species
UACAGAGGGUGCAAACGUUGCUCGGAAUUAUUGGGCGUAAAGCGCGUGUAGGCGGUUUAUUAGGCCGAUUGUGAAAGCCCAUGGCUCAACCAUGGAAGAGCAAUCGGAACCGAUAGACUAGAGUUCUGACGAGGGUGGUGGAAUUCCCAGUGUAGAGGUGAAAUUCGUAGAUAUUGGGAGGAACACCGGUGGCGAAGGCGGCCACCUGGGAAGCGACUGACGCUGAGACGCGAAAGCAUGGGGAUCAAACAGG